ACACAUGCAAGUCGAGCGGAAAGGCCACUUCGGUGGUACUCGAGCGGCGAACGGGUGAGUAACACGUGAGUAAUCUGCCCUUCACUUGGGGAUAACCUCCGGAAACGGUGGCUAAUACCCGAUACGACCAUUCCAGGCAUCUGGUGGUGGUGGAAAGUUUUUUCGGUGGGGGAUGUGCUCGCGGCCUAUCAGCUUGUUGGUGGGGUAAUGGCCUACCAAGGCUUCGACGGGUAGCCGGCCUGAGAGGGUGACCGGCCACACUGGGACUGAGACACGGCCCAGACUCCUACGGGAGGCAGCAGUGGGGAAUAUUGGACAAUGGGCGGAAGCCUGAUCCAGCAACGCCGCGUGAGGGAUGACGGCCUUCGGGUUGUAAACCUCUUUCACCGAUGACGAAGCGCAAGUGACGGUAGUCGGAGAAGAAGCACCGGCCAACUACGUGCCAGCAGCCGCGGUAAUACGUAGGGUGCGAGCGUUGUCCGGAAUUAUUGGGCGUAAAGGGCUCGUAGGCGGUUUGUCGCGUCGGGAGUGAAAACACGGGGCUUAACUCCGUGCUUGCUUUCGAUACGGGCAGACUAGAGGUAUGCAGGGGAGAACGGAAUUCCUGGUGUAGCGGUGAAAUGCGCAGAUAUCAGGAGGAACACCGGUGGCGAAGGCGGUUCUCUGGGCAUGACCUGACGCUGAGGAGCGAAAGUGUGGGGAGCGAACAG
rnacentral:rRNA from 1 species